rnacentral:rRNA from 1 species
AACCAGGAUUAGAUACCCUAUUAUAAAAAUUUAAAUUAAUUUGCUAAAAAAUUAAUAGUUAUGUUCUUUAAAUUUAAAAAAUUUGGCGGUAUUUUAGUCUUAUUAGAGGAACCUGUUUAUUAAUUGAUAAUCCACGAUUAAUUUUACUUAUUUUAAUUAAUUCAUAUAUCGCUGUCAUGAAUAUAUUUAAAAAUUUAUUUUCUUUAUUUAUUUUUAUAAUUUAUGUUAAGUCAAGAUGUGGUUUAUAAAUAAGUAUAUAAUGGGUUACAUUAAAUUUUAUUUUUGGAUUUAAAAUGAAAAUUAAAAUGAAAUUGGAUUUAAUAGUAAAUUUAUUUAUUUAGUUAAU